rnacentral:rRNA from 1 species
AUUCUGGCUCAGGAUGAACGCUAGCGGCAGGCUUAACACAUGCAAGUCGAGGGGCAACGCGAGUAGCAAUACUUGGCGGCGACCGGCGCAAGGGUGCGUAACGCGUGAGCAACAUGCCCGUAUCAGGGGGGAUAAUCCAGGGAAACUUGGUCUAAUACCCCAUAGUAAUUUUGUAAGGCAUCUUAUAAGAUUUAAAGCUUUGGUGGAUACGGAUUGGCUCGCGUGACAUUAGCUGGAUGGUAAGGUAACGGCUUACCAUGGCUAUGAUGUCUAGGGGUUCUGAGAGGAAGGUCCCCCCACACUGGAACUGAGACACGGUCCAGACUCCUACGGGAGGCAGCAGUGAGGAAUAUUGGACAAUGGAUGGAAAUCUGAUCCAGCCAUGCCGCGUGAAGGAAGAAAGGUCCUAUGGAUUGUAAACUUCUUUUGUAUGGGAGCAAUAAGGCCUACGAGUAGGUUGAUGAGAGUACCAUACGAAUAAGCACCGGCUAACUCCGUGCCAGCAGCAGC